rnacentral:rRNA from 1 species
AGAGUUUGAUCCUGGCUCAGAACGAACGCUGGCGGCGUGGAUAAGACAUGCAAGUCGAACGCUGAUCAAAGGGUAGUAAUAUCCUUUGGUUGGAGUGGCGCAAGGGUGCGUAACACGUGGGUAAUUUGCCAUAAAGUUGGGGAUAACUCGCUGAAAGGCGAGCUAAUACCGAAUGUGAUUUUUAGAGGGCAUCCUCCGAAAAUUAAAGUUGGGGACCGCAAGGCCUGACGCUUUAUGAUAAGCCCGCGACCUAUCAGCUAGUUGGUGAGGUAACGGCUCACCAAGGCUAAGACGGGUAGCUGGUCUGAGAGGACGACCAGUCACACUGGAACUGAGACACGGUCCAGACACCUACGGGUGGCAGCAGUCGAGAAUUUUUCUCAAUGGGCGAAAGCCUGAAGGAGCGACGCCGCGUGAGGGAUGAAGGGCUUCGGCUCGUAAACCUCUGUCAUUUGCGAUCAAACCUUUUUAUUGAACAGAUAAGAAGCUGAUAGUAGCGAAAGAGGAAGGGACGGCUAACUCUGUGCCAGCAGCCGCGGUAAUACAGAGGUCCCAAGCGUUGUUCGGAUUCACUGGGCGUAAAGGGUGCGUAGGUGGUGAGGUAAGUUUGAUGUGAAAGCUCCGAGCUUAACUCGGAAAUGGCAUUGAAUACUACUUUGCUAGAGGGUUGGAGGGGAGACUGGAAUACUUGGUGUAGCAGUGAAAUGCGUAGAUAUCAAGUGGAACACCAGUGGCGAAGGCGAGUCUCUGGACAACUCCUGACACUGAGGCACGAAAGCUAGGGGAGCAAACNNGAUUAGAUACCCUAGUAGUCC